rnacentral:ncRNA from 1 species
UGAAGAACGGCUGGAAAUAUCAAUUUCCUGAUAACCGAAGGAGCAAGGAAUAAAAUACGCACUCUUUUUAUUCUGAAACUCUCAGGUAUGGGACAGCAUUCUGACA